rnacentral:rRNA from 1 species
GCUAGGUCAUUCUAGCAUGUGCACGUCUACACUUUUAAACACACUUGUGAACCCAUUGUAGAUCGAGUCCAUCGAAAAGUAGUAUCAAGCUACCUAAUAGAGGGCUAAUUGGCUUAUCGAAAAGUACCGCUUAUUGAAAAGUAGUGUGAACUACCUAAUAGAAAGCUUAGUACCUAAUAGAGGGCUGGUUGGCUUAUCGAAAAGUGGUAAGAAACUACCUAAUAGAGGGCUUAGUUGGCUCAUUGAAACGUAGUUAAGUUGGCUUAUCGAAAAGUGGUAAAUAGAGGGCUGAUUGGCUUAUUGAAAAGUAGUGUGAACUACCUAAUAGAGGGCUGGUUGGCUUAUCGAAAGACUACCUGAUAGAAAGCAUGGUACUUAAUAGAGGGCUAGUCGGCUUAUCGAAAAGUGGUAAAUAGAGGGCUAAUUGGCUUAUUGAAAAGUACUUCUUAUUGAAAAGUAGUGUGAACUACCUAAUAGAAAGCUUAGUACUUAAUAGAAGGCUGGUUGGCUUAUCGAAAAGACUACCUAAUAGAGGGCUAGUUGGCUUAUCGAAAGUAGUGUGAACUACGGCUAACUACCUAUAGAGGGUCUCAGAAGAUCUAUGU